rnacentral:rRNA from 1 species
AUGCACGCUAGCUACAGGCUUAACACAUGCCAGUCGAGGGGAAACGACAUCGAAAGCUUGCUUUUGAUGGGCGUCGACCGGCGCACGGGUGAGUAACGCGUAUCCAACCUGCCCAUCACUUGGGAAUAACCUUGCGAAAGUAAGACUAAUACCCAAUGAUAUCCCACGAAGGCAUCGGAAUGGGAUUAAAGAUUUAUCGGUGAUGGAUGGGGAUGCGUCUGAUUAGCUUGUUGGCGGGGUAACGGCCCACCAAGGCAACGAUCAGUAGGGGUUCUGAGAGGAAGGUCCCCCACAUUGGAACUGAGACACGGUCCAAACUCCUACGGGAGGCAGCAGUGAGGAAUAUUGGUCAAUGGGCGAGAGCCUGAACCAGCCAAGUAGCGUGCAGGAAGACGGCCCUAUGGGUUGUAAACUGCUUUUAUAAGGGAAUAAAGUGGGUCACGUGUGACUUUUUGCAUGUACCUUAUGAAUAAGGACCGGCUAAUUCCGUG